ACAUGGAUUUCGAAACUGAGAAAGAUGACUUAAGAGUGUAGGAUUUGUGGGUCAAGUUUGUAGCAUCAACUGAGGAGAAGAUGAUUGAGCAAGAGAGGUCAAUUCGAAAGCUUCAGAAUCAUAUAGAUCAAAUGUUCGAAGCAUUGAACAAUCGCCCUCAAAAUAAUUGGUGUUAUGACAUGGAUGAUGAAAUCGAUGGAGAGCCA
rnacentral:lncRNA from 1 species